rnacentral:tRNA from 1 species
GCUUGGGUGGCUCAGCAGUUGAGCGUCUGCCUUUGGCUCAGGGCAUAAUCCCGGGGUGUGGGAUCGAGUCCCACAUCAGGCU